rnacentral:rRNA from 1 species
UACGUAGGGUGCAAGCGUUGUCCGGAAUUAUUGGGCGUAAAGAGCUCGUAGGCGGUCUGUCACGUCGGCUGUGAAAACCCGAGGCUCAACCUCGGGCCUGCAGUCGAUACGGGCAAACUAGAGUGUUGCAGGGGAGACUGGAAUUCCUGGUGUAGCGGUGAAAUGCGCAGAUAUCAGGAGGAACACCGGUGGCGAAGGCGGGUCUCUGGGCAACAACUGACGCUGAGGAGCGAAAGCGUGGGGAGCGAACAGG